rnacentral:rRNA from 1 species
UUUGAUCCUGGCUCAGAUUGAACGCUGGCGGCAUGCUUUACACAUGCAAGUCGAACGGCAGCACGAAAGAGCUUGCUCUUUUGGUGGCGAGUGGCGAACGGGUGAGUAAUGCAUCGGAACGUACCGAGUAAUGGGGGAUAACUAUCCGAAAGGAUAGCUAAUACCGCAUACGCUUUGAGAAGGAAAGUGGGGGCUCUUCGGACCUCACGUUAUUCGAGCGGCCGAUGUCUGAUUAGCUAGUUGGUGGGGUAAAGGCCUACCAAGGCGACGAUCAGUAGCGGGUCUGAGAGGAUGAUCCGCCACACUGGGACUGAGACACGGCCCAGACUCCUACGGGAGGCAGCAGUGGGGAAUUUUGGACAAUGGGCGCAAGCCUGAUCCAGCCAUGCCGCGUGUCUGAAGAAGGCCUUCGGGUUGUAAAGGACUUUUGUUAGGGAAGAAAAGGAUAGUGUUAAUACCAUUAUCUGCUGACGGUACCUAAAGAAUAAGCACCGGCUAACUACGUG